rnacentral:lncRNA from 1 species
GCUUGGCGUGCGGCCCUCGGCCAGCCGUGCGCGCACUUUCCGGGUCGUGGCCUCACAGUGUCACUGGAGUCAAACCCCGUCGGCCUGCAGCCCACAGCAGUAAUCUACAGUAGCCAAGAAUUCAUAAGAUCCCAGAGACAGCUCAGGACGGUCAUAAGCGUCCACGCGUUUGCCGCUCCUGAGAAAUGCUCCCUCAUCUACCUAAUGUGAGAGAGAACGAUGUGGAUGCCAGCCUUGCCCCAAAGCUCAGCCAUCACAACAUACCAUCAUUGAUACAACUGCAGAAGGAGCACUGGAAGCGCCUCCCUCCCUCGAUGAAAGUCAUGAGAGGGCACAUGUAUGCUUUGCAGCGAUUACAGCGCAGGGGGCCAGAUUCGCCAUGAUCCACAACAUACGGUGAAGCCUAAGGAACAAAGAGAAGAGACUGAGAUGGAGGGAGGUUACAGAGAUAUGUCAGAUACAGACAUAUGUCAACAUAUGACACAGACUGGAGGGAGAGGCAGCAUGGCUCAGGUAUUCUGCCUGAAUUCAGUGAAGGAAAUGAGAACAAUGAUAAGAACUGGAAAAAACUCCAGCUCACUCUCUUCAUUUUCUAUCCCAAAAUGCAUUCAUUUCUUCUUACAAAGGAAGAUGGCCUAUGAAACUGGUCAUAGCAAGCCAGGGACUGCCAUGAGUAUAUGAAAAGAAAGCCGAAGAUUCUACAGGAUGGCUCCUCCNGUCCUGGAGAUGACUUCUGCUUCUGUCCCUGUAUAUCUAUGAUACUUUCCCCCAUCACGCACGAGAGAAUUCUGUGACCCCUACUGUUGUCCUGAAGAUAUCUUACAAACACAAGAACAGCAUCCAACCAUCCUCACUAGCAACCCACACAGAAAAUGAGAAGGCAGAACAUACACUGUGCCUUGAUGGUACAGUUCUAGAAAACUCUUUUUAAGUACAUUAGGUCGUCAAUACCUAAAUAAACAGCUACCUAAUUUUUACAAAUUUUUUUGCCAGGAUUACUGGCACAUGCUUUUAAUCCCAGCACUCGGGAGGCAGAGGCAGGUGGAUUUCUGAGUUCAAGGCCAGCCUGGUCUACAGAUUGAGUUCCAGGACAGCCAGAGCUAUACAGAGAAACCCUGUCUCGAAAAACCAAAACACACACACACAACAGAGUAACAGACUUGUCAUCAUCCAGAUAUGUGACCACAUUAGAAGUUCCUACAUCCAGCUGUCUUGCCUGCAGAAAUUAGGCUGGCCCUACCUGUUUUGUUUUAAGACAGGGUAUUUCACGAUAUAGCCCUGGAUGGCUUCAUCACAGAGAUCUGCCUACUUCUGCUUCAUGAAUACCAGGGCUAACUCUUUGAGAUGGAGUUUACUAUGUGGGUAGGCUGUGCUGGAAUUCUAUGGCCUCCUGUUUCAGCUUCCUAAGGGCUACAAUUACAGGUGUGACCCUCCAC